rnacentral:rRNA from 1 species
UACAGCCAUGUCACGUUGAAACACCGGUUUCCGUUCAGAAGUUAAGCCACGUUGAGCUUGGUCAGUACCUAAAUGGGUGACCGCUUGGGAAUACCAGGAAC